rnacentral:rRNA from 1 species
CAGCAGCCGCGGGAAUACCAGCAGCCCAAGUGGUGGUCGCGAUUAUUGGGCCUAAAGCGCUCGUAGCCGGGCCGGUAAGUCCCUUGUGAAAUCGGACGGCCUAACCGUUCGGCGUGCAAGGGAUACUGUCGGUCUUGAGGCCGGGAGACGUCCGAGGUACUCCGGGGGUAGCGGUGAAAUGUUCUGAUCCUCGGGGGACCACCGGUGGCGAAGGCGUUCGACGAGAACGGGCCUGACGGUGAGGGGCGAAGGCUAGGGGAGCAAACGGGAUUAGAUACCCCAGUAGUCCCUGUCUCUUAUA